rnacentral:rRNA from 1 species
GCCUGCCCUGUGACUAUAUGUUUAACGGCCGCGGUAUUUUGACCGUGCGAAGGUAGCGCAAUCACUUGUCUUUUAAAUGGGGACCUGUAUGAAUGGCACAACGAGGGCUUGACUGUCUCCUCUUUCAAGUCAAUGAAAUUGAUCUCCCCGUGCAGAAGCGGAGAUAAACUCAUAAGACGAGAAGACCCUAUGGAGCUUUAGACACUAAAGCAGGCCAGUAUUAAUACCCCAAAUACGAGGCACGAAUAAACUGAAUUUCUGCCCUAAUGUCUUAGGUUGGGGCGACCGCGGAGCAACAAAAAACCCCCGCAAGGACCGAAUGUACUACAUUCACAACCAAGAGCGACAGCUCUAAUUAACAGACACUUCUGACCAAUAAGAUCCGGCAACGCCGAUCAAUGGACCAAGUUACCCUAGGGAUAACAGCGCAAUCUCCUCUUAGAGCCCAUAUCAACGAGGAGGUUUACGACCUCGAUGUUGGAUCAGGACAUCCUAAUGGUGCAGCCGCUAUUAAGGGUUCGUUUGUUCAACGAUUAAAGUCCUACGUGA